AGAGUUUGAUCAUGGCUCAGAACGAACGCUGGCGGCAGGCCUAACACAUGCAAGUCGAGCGCACCUUCGGGUGAGCGGCGGACGGGUUAGUAACGCGUGGGAACGUACCCAGAUCUAAGGAAUAGCCACUGGAAACGGUGAGUAAUACCUUAUACGCCCUUCGGGGGAAAGAUUUAUCGGAUUUGGAUCGGCCCGCGUUAGAUUAGGUAGUUGGUGGGGUAAUGGCCUACCAAGCCUACGAUCUAUAGCUGGUUUUAGAGGAUGAUCAGCAACACUGGGACUGAGACACGGCCCAGACUCCUACGGGAGGCAGCAGUGGGGAAUCUUAGACAAUGGGGGCAACCCUGAUCUAGCCAUGCCGCGUGAGUGAAGAAGGUCUUAGGAUCGUAAAGCUCUUUCGCCAGGGAUGAUAAUGACAGUACCUGGUAAAGAAACCCCGGCUAACUCCGUGCCAGCAGCCGCGGUAAUAC
rnacentral:rRNA from 1 species